rnacentral:rRNA from 1 species
AGAUGCGAUCAUACCAGCACUAAAGCACCAGAUCCCAUCAGAACUCCGAAGUUAAGCGUGCUUGGGCGAGAGUAGUACUAGGAUGGGUGACCUCCUGGGAAGUCCUCGUGUUGCAUUCC